UGGUGUGUAGCUGAUGUGGCAGGCGUCUGGUAUUGAUCAGAGCGUUGCAGGUUCGAGCCCUGCCUCACCAACAA
rnacentral:tRNA from 1 species